GAAAUCCUAUCAGGUAAUACCUAACCAGUAGCCUGUACCUAGUUCCUUGGAGCCAAAAUGGUAACAUUAGGUUUAAGCGUAGGGCGGGGAGCAAACGAGCCGAAACGAAAGUGAAGCUAUUGAGCCACGAAAUUAUUAUCUAAAAGAAGAGGUCGAUACCGUCAUGUCGGUAGCAGACAAUACUAUAUAAAUCGUAUAGGUGAGAUUUAUAUAGCUCUUCCGGGGUCUUAGGGCU
rfam:Peptococcaceae bacterium BRH_c23 BRHa_1004088, whole genome shotgun sequence.